UGCGCGCGCGUUUGAGCACUGGCGCGCGCGACCCGUCUGUCUGAUUAUUUUUUUCUUUUUUAAAUGUAACCUGGUUUAUUGGGCUCCCGGCGUAUUCUUGCGUUCCUUCUGCACUGGGACAAGACACCACUGCACUAUUGGACUACGGCAAGCUGGUACCGUCCGGUGGAGCUUCAUACAGGAACUACUGCCUUACCUGCUGGUGUCACAACGUUGGAUGAACGCACAAAAAGCGCGGAACGAGCUUUUAUAUAGAGCAAAAUAAAUAUUUCCUCAUUGCACAAAA